UUCUCUUUCAUGGAAGCACUGCGCCUUCCUUGGCUUCCUUCAUCGUUGGCUGAACAAAAUCCUUCCUUUUCCAAUCACUUUGAGAAGCCAAUGGAACCAGAGCAGUUGAGGGAGUUUGGUCAUUAAAUGGUUGAUUUCAUUGUGGAUUACUACAAAACCAUUAAAUCUUUCUCUGCUCAUAGCCAAGUUAAGCUUGGGUAUCUAAGUGAACCGCUGCCUGUUUGAGCCUCUAAACAUC